CCUACGGGUGGCAGCAGUGAGGAAUAUUGGUCAAUGGACGAGAGUCUGAACCAGCCAAGUAGCGUGAGGGAUGACUGCCCUAUGGGUUGUAAACUUCUUUUAUAUGGGAGUAAACUGUUCCACGUGUGGGGUUUUGUAUGUACCCUGUGAAUAAGGCUCGGCUAACUCCGUGCCAGCAGCCGCGGUAAUACGGAGGAUCCGGGCGUUAGCCGGAUUUAUUGGGGUUAAAGGGAGCGUAGGUGGGUUGUUAAGUCAGUUGUGAAAGUUUGCGGCUCAACCGUAAAAUUGCAGUUGAAACUGGCAGUCUUGAGUACAGGAGAGGUGGGCGGAAUGCGUGGUGUAGCGGUGAAAUGCUUAGAUAUCACGAAGAACUCCGAUUGCGAAGGCAGCUCACGGGACUGCAACUGACACUGAGGCUCGAAAGUGUGGGUAUCAAACAGGAUUAGAUACCCUUGUAGUC
rnacentral:rRNA from 1 species